ACGUAGGGGGCAAGCGUUGUCCGGAAUUACUGGGCGUAAAGCGCACGCAGGCGGUUCGUUAAGUCGGAUGUGAAAGAUCGGGGCUCAACCCCGGUUUGCGUUCGAUACUGGCGGACUGGAGUGUCGGAGAGGGAAGUGGAAUUCCCGGUGGGGGUGUGCGAGGCGGAGAUGUGGGGAUGAACGGCAGAGGCGGGGGUAGCUACCGGGCUUACAUCUCCCGCUAGUGUGCGUAAGUUGAGGGAACAAAAGG
rnacentral:rRNA from 1 species